UUAGAUGGAUUGUCGCUGUGACACGAGUGCAUUUCCCAAUUUCCGUUCCAAAAACGUCUGGGAAAGCUUCCUGGAUCUCCUUGACAGCCUUCGUGGUGUCAAUUUCUUCUUGAAUUGCAUAACAGUUUGUCUUGGCAUUGUCGGAUACCAAACAUCGACCUCGAGCUUGCUUUCCAUGGAGCACAAUGUCACAUUGGAACUCACCAAUGAUGGGAAUCCUACGUGAUUGAGCAUCUUUGACAUGAACAGAUGGUUCUGAGAGGUUAGGUUUUCCAAGAACCUCCCAAGUACUCCUGGAUACCACCGAGACAUCCGCAGCGCAGUCCAAUUGGAAAUCCACUGAGUGGCCGUUAAUCUGCGGAGUCAAGAAUUUUCUUCCUCUCGGAUGAGCGGUGAAAACUGCAUAGGUGUUUGCCGAUGCCUUCUUCUUCUUCCUGAAGAACCUCUUCUUGGGCUUUCCAGCGGUUCCUCUGCUGUCUUCCUGACCCUUUUUAGGGGGACAGUAACCCGUUUUGUGACCGACAGUAUCACAAUCCUGGCAUUUCGUAUUUUUGUGGACGCAGUCCCGGAUGAAAUGCAUUCCGCCACACAGGAAACACGGUCGAGGCGGGCGGUCAGACUGUGAAGAGGGUCGCGAUGGCGUCUUCCGGAUAGCACUGACGUUGGCAGGAGUGAUACCAAGACGAGCAUCCUUCUUCAUAUUGGAAAUUCUCUGAGCUUCAUCAAUCAGGAACCCCAAAUUGAUUUUGUUUGAGGGCUCAGUUUCCAAGCGUGCCAGUAGCUGCUCCCGGACAAAGACAUGCUUGUCACUUUGGAUGCUGAUGCAAAAGAUCAAUGCCUUAAAGUGAUCAGGCGUGCAUUCACCUAGCCGAAAAUCUUCACAAAGACUGUUGAUAGCAGCUCCGUGCGCUGCCCAAUCCUCAGAUUCCUUCAUCACAUGCUGUAGGCACUUCCGACGAAGACUGAAGAGAGACUCUCCCUUUCCAAACAACUUGGAAAGUCUCGAGAUGUUGUCAUCGAAUGAGAGAUCUGCUGGGUUUAUCGGACGUAGGAGAUUGGCAUAUCUGUAGUAAGCAGUAUUGUCCAGUCGACGGAGAAGGAGUCUCACACGUCCUGCAUCGUCGAGAUUGCUUCCAUCGCUCAGGAAUGUUGACUUGUACCGGGAAUACCACACGUCGAAGGUCAUAUUGUCCUCCGGAGAGAACGUAAAUGCUGCUAUGGAGCGAGCAAGGGCAUCCAUGGACACUUCAGGUAUUGAUGAUGUGGCUUCCGGAACAAUUGGCUUAACCUCUUUCAGCUUGGCAUCUAUGAGCUUCUCAAUUGCGGUAAGAAACCCAGACAGAGGAUCAUUCCCAGCUUGAGCCAUUCUCGAUCGCCAGUUCUGUUGUGUAUUGUUACGGGAUUUACCUGAGAAAUAGAAGAAUAUUUAGUAAAAUCCAA